ACCGCCAUCUUUUAUUCCAGAGCUGUCUUUCUAGUAUUCGUACAAAAUCUUGAACGAAAAAGUUUCGGUUUGGCACAUUGGCGGCUACUGUAGCUGUGUCUUCAUCACAUUACUUAUCGUGAAUAAGUACAAUGACGAAUAUGGCCUACAGCUUUUGUUCCAUUUUAUAAGUUGUUGUCCCAACCAUGCCAACUACCCUGCUGCUCUUUUGUCAGGCUCCCACUGCUGCAGUGUACAACAUGCAUUACACGAGCUUCUUAUUCCAUGUGUUCAAGAGCUGUUUACUUCCACAUAGCUGACAAGAUAUCAGUGUAGUGCAGUUCUCCAAUGGCAGUAGCCCAAUGUCUGAGUUGUAGAUUUCAUUGUUCAUGCCACGGUAUAGUAUAUUUAUUGCAGUGUAUGUGAAGCCUGCCGGUACCUGUAUCAGGCUGGUUUGAAAAAUUUUGCAGCGAGAAGUGGCAAGAACAGUGCGGUCACCUAGGGAGCUCCACGGUCAGAUCAUGACUGCAAAGCGGCGCCAGCAGUUGCUACUGUCACGAGUUGCUUUCAGGAGUACACUGCCACGAAGCCCAGCCGCAAAGGCAGAAGUCUGACUGAGUGAAUUGAUCCAAUUAACGGCUACUUGGCUGACUUCCUAAAAAGGCUGUAAGACAAUAAAUUUUGUCAAAUUGACAUGCA